GACGAACGCUGGCGGCGUGCCUAAUACAUGCAAGUAGGACGCAGUUGCGAACGGGUGAGUAACGCGUAGGUAACUACCUAUUAGAGGGGGAUAACUAUUGGAAACGAUAGCUAAUACCGCAUACUAGUAGAUGGACCUUCGUUGUAUUAGCUAGUAGGUAGGGUAAUGGCCUACCUAGGCAACGGUACCUAGCCGAACUGAGAGGGGGAUCGGCCAAACUGGGACUUGGACACGGCCCAGACCCCUAAGGGGAGCAGGAGUAGGGGAUGUUCGGGAAUGGGGGGAACCCUGACCGAGCAACGCCGCGUGAGUGAAGAAGGUUUUCGGAUCGGAAAGCUCUGUUGUUAAGGAAGCGGUACUUAACCAGAAAGGGACGGCUAACUACGUGCCAGCAGCCGCGGUAAUUC
rnacentral:rRNA from 1 species